GCCUGGGUGGCUCAGUCGGUUAGGCAUCUGACUUCGGCUCAAGUCAUGGUCUCACACUUCAUGGGUUCAAGCCCCAUGUCAGGCU
rnacentral:tRNA from 1 species